rnacentral:rRNA from 1 species
UACAGAGGUGGCAAGCGUUGUUCGGAAUUACUGGGCGUAAAGGGCUCGUAGGCGGCCAACUAAGUCAGACGUGAAAUCCCUCGGCUUAACCGGGGAACUGCGUCUGAUACUGGAUGGCUCGAGUUUGGGAGAGGGAUGCGGAAUUCCAGGUGUAGCGGUGAAAUGCGUAGAUAUCUGGAGGAACACCGGUGGCGAAGGCGGCAUCCUGGACCAACACUGACGCUGAGGAGCGAAAGCCAGGGGAGCAAACGGG